rnacentral:rRNA from 1 species
UGGGGAAUAUUGCACAAUGGGCGCAAGCCUGAUGCAGCCAUGCCGCGUGUAUGAAGAAGGCCUUCGGGUUGUAAAGUACUUUCAGUCGGGAGGAAGGUGUCAAGGUUAAUAACCUUGGCAAUUGACGUUACCGACAGAAGAAGCACCGGCUAACUCCGUGCCAGCAGCCGCGGUAAUACGGAGGGUGCAAGCGUUAAUCGGAAUUACUGGGCGUAAAGCGCACGCAGGCGGUUGAUUGAGUCAGAUGUGAAAUCCCCGGGCUUAACCCGGGAAUUGCAUCUGAUACUGGUCAGCUAGGGGCUUGUAGGGGGGGGUAGGAUUCCAUGUGUAGCGGUGAAAUGCGUAGAGGUGUGGAGGAAUACCGGUGGCGAAGGCGGCCCCCUGGACAAAGACUGACGCUCAGGUGCGAAAGCGUGGGGAGCAAACAGG